AGUAACUUUAAGUCAUUCCCUGCUAAAGACCACUAAAGUCGAUCAAGUUGGCCUAUGGAUCCUUUGCUUCUGAAAGGAGAAAUGGAGUCAACCCUUCCUUCUUCCAUAUGGCCCUUGGUGAAGAUCACCAGGUUCAAGGUAUAAUUUAUCUGCUAAAGAACUUUGGAUGGACAUGGAUUGGCCUCUUCACUCAGGAUGGCGACAGUGCAGAAUGUUUCCUGCUCUCCCUGGAGGCCCUGUUCUCUCAGAAUAGAAUCUGCUCCGCUUUUACCCAAAUAAUUCCACAGCAGCAUUUAAAUAGCGUAAACAGUUGGAAAAAACUCGCUGAGCUGGUUGAAAAACUGAACCUCCAUUUUACAGAGGGCAGAGCAAGUACCUUCAUCAUUUAUGGAGAUACCUCAACCAUAUUGUACCUGGCUUCUUUACUAGUUGACAUAUAUGAUCGAUGCAAUGAAAAGGCAUGUGGGGGAAAGGUGUGGAUUAUGACAGACCAGAUAGAUUUCUCAUUAAUGACUAAACGGCCUGAUGCUAAAAUUCAAAUAUUCCAAGGAGCUCUUUCCUUCAUGCUUCAUUCCAGUGAGAUUAAGGAAUUCCAGACUUUUCUCUACCUCCUCAGACCUGACCAAAGCCCAAAGGUUAAUAAACUAGAAUAUUUUUGGAA